UAGUUGGAUUUCUGCUGAGGACGACCGGUCCGCCCUCUGGGUGAGUACCUGGCUCGGCCUUGGCAUCUUCUUGGAGAACGUAACUGCACUUGACUGUGUGGUGCGGUAUUCAGGACUUUUACUUUGAGGAAAUUAGAGUGUUUCAAGCAGGCGCAUGCCUUGAAUACAUUAGCAUGGAAUAAUGAGAUAGGACCUUGGUUCUAUUUUGUUGGUUUCUAGAGCUGAGGUAAUGAUUAAUAGGGAUAGUUGGGGGCAUUCGUAUUUAACUGUCAGAGGUGAAAUUCUUGGAUUUGUUAAAGACUGAUUACUGCGAAAGCAUUUGCCAAGGAUGUUUUCACUGAUCAAGAACGAAAGUUAGGGGAUCGAAGACGAUCAGAUACCGUCGUAGUCUUAACCAUAAACCAUGCCGACUAAGGAUUGGAGGAUGUUCCUAUGUGACUCCUUCAGCACCUUUCGGGAAACUAAAGUCUUUGGGUUCCGGGGGGAGUAUGGUCGCAAGGCUGAAACUUAAAGGAAUUGACGGAAGGGCACCACCAGGAGUGGAGCCUGCGGCUUAAUUUGACUCAACACGGGGAAACU
rnacentral:rRNA from 1 species